rnacentral:ncRNA from 1 species
AUGGGGAAUCCUUGUAUCAAGGGUGCACUCUGCAUGAAUAUUGAAAGACAAUUGGGUUAAUAUUCCUAAACUGGGACAUGGUGGUGGACGACAAUGUUAGGAAAUUUGGAGAUGUCAUCGGGGGCUUGGGAAGAGUUAUCUUUUCUUUUUAACGACUUUCCCACCCUGAAAUCAGUUCAACCAGAGAUAGGGUACGACAUAUGGAAGAGCACCACACAUCUUGCAGUGUUUGGUGCCCCCUCGGGGGCCAUUGAAAAUAUGGAGAACCGAGUACCAUCCAUGCCCAAUCGUACU